rnacentral:rRNA from 1 species
GGUACUGCGGAAGGAUCAUUA